AAGUCGAGCGGAUGAAGGGAGCUUGCUCCUGGAUUCAGCGGCGGACGGGUGAGUAAUGCCUAGGAAUCUGCCUGGUAGUGGGGGAUAACGUUCCGAAAGGAACGCUAAUACCGCAUACGUCCUACGGGAGAAAGCAGGGGACCUUCGGGCCUUGCGCUAUCAGAUGAGCCUAGGUCGGAUUAGCUAGUUGGUGAGGUAAUGGCUCACCAAGGCGACGAUCCGUAACUGGUCUGAGAGGAUGAUCAGUCACACUGGAACUGAGACACGGUCCAGACUCCUACGGGAGGCAGCAGUGGGGAAUAUUGGACAAUGGGCGAAAGCCUGAUCCAGCCAUGCCGCGUGUGUGAAGAAGGUCUUCGGAUUGUAAAGCACUUUAAGUUGGGAGGAAGGGCUGUAGGCUAAUAUCCUGCGGUUUUGACGUUACCAACAGAAUAAGCACCGGCUAACUUCGUGCCAGCAGC
rnacentral:rRNA from 1 species